GAUGAAGAACGCAGCGAAAUGCGAUAAGUAAUGUGAAUUGCAGAAUUCAGUGAAUCAUCGAAUCUUUGAACGCACAUUGCGCCCGCCAGUAUUCUGGCGGGCAUGCCUGUCUGAGCGUCAUUUCAACCCUCAUGCCCCUAGGGCGUGGUGUUGGGGAUCGGCCAAAGCCCGCGAGGGACGGCCGGCCCCUAAAUCUAGUGGCGGACCCGUCGUGGCCUCCUCUGCGCAGUAGUGAUAUUCCGCAUCGGAGAGCGAUGAGCCCCUGCCGUUAAACCCCCAACUUUCCAAGGUUGACCUCAGAUCAGGUAGGAAUACCCGCUGAACUUAAGCAUAUCAAUAAGCGGAGGA
rnacentral:misc_RNA from 1 species